rnacentral:rRNA from 1 species
CCUACGGGAGGCAGCAGUGAGGAAUAUUGGUCAAUGGACGAGAGUCUGAACCAGCCAAGUAGCGUGAAGGAUGACUGCCCUAUGGGUUGUAAACUUCUUUUAUAUGGGAAUAAAACGUUCCACGUGUGGGAUUUUGUAUGUACCAUAUGAAUAAGGAUCGGCUAACUCCGUGCCAGCAGCCGCGGUAAUACGGAGGAUCCGAGUGUUAUCCGGAUUUAUUGGGUUUAAAGGGAGCGUAGGUGGAUUGUUAAGUCAGUUGUGAAAGUUUGCGGCUCAACCGUAAAAUUGCAGUUGAAACUGGCAGUCUUGAGUACAGUAGAGGUGGGCGGAAUUCGUGGUGUAGCGGUGAAAUGCUUAGAUAUCACGAAGAACUCCGAUUGCGAAGGCAGUUCACUGGACUGCAACUGACACUGAGGCUCGAAAGUGUGGGUAUCAAACAGGAUUAGAUACCCCUGUAGUC